UACGUAGGCGGAAAAUUAAGUCAGUAGUGAAAUCCUGCAGCUUAACUGUAGAACUGUUAUUGAUACUGGUUUUCUUGAAUAUAGUUGAGGUAAGCGGAAUGUGUAAUGUAGCGGUGAAAUGCUUAGAUAUUACACAGAACACCGAUUGCGAAGGUAGCUUACUAAGCUAUGAUUGACGCUGAGGUACGAAAGCGUGGGGAGCGAACAGGAUUAGAUACCCUGGUAGUCC
rnacentral:rRNA from 1 species